GAAACGAUACUAUUCCUAAUCCGAAUUCAUAUGACAAACAUGCAUUGACAUUUAGGAUUAUUACAUAUGAUCGCACACGUCACAAAUAUUAUUCUUAAUAAUAAAAAUAUAAAGUCUCGAAUUAAAAACUAAGGAUGAAACAGUUUUUUCAUCCAUCCAAUACAUGAAGAGAAUUAGCCUAGCAUCAUGUUGAAAUUAAACAAAUAAAAGUGGUAGGAAAUCAUCGAAAAUUGACGGAAAGUGAUUAAUUCCAAAAAUUAUUCUCGGCCUUUGCUGCACGUGUAUGUUGAUUUCCCCAAGGCAGCCAUCCACUUCUCUUCUUUUACUCAAAGCUGCUCCAAAUUAUAUGUGUGUAUAUAUAAAAUUCAGCCCAAUUUUUCCUUCAAUGUUGGCGUGUGUGUGUGUGUAAUUCCAGUAAGUUGUCAGCAACUUUUUUUUCUCUAGGCCAGUCUCCUUUCAUGUAUAUAAAAUCCCCAAAAUUGGCUCCAAUACAAGGCCUUGUAUGUUUUGUCUUCUGCCUACACACUUGCAACCACCAAAUUCUUCAAAGCUGCCCACUUUUCCUUUUUUUUCCUUCCAACAGCCGCCAAUUGUAUUGUUUGAGGAGUUCAAUUCCAGCUUCCACCAAGCAGCCGUCCUUUUUCUCUCCUCCAAAGUACCCCC
rnacentral:lncRNA from 1 species